rnacentral:rRNA from 1 species
CAGUAGCCGCGGUAAUACGAAGGGUGCAAGCGUUAAUCGGAAUUACUGGGCGUAAAGCGUGCGUAGGCGGUGAGUUAAGUCUGCUGUGAAAUCCCCGGGCUCAACCUGGGAAUGGCAGUGGAUACUGGCUCGCUAGAGUGUGUCAGAGGAUGGUGGAAUUCCCGGUGUAGCGGUGAAAUGCGUAGAGAUCGGGAGGAACAUCAGUGGCGAAGGCGGCCAUCUGGGACAACACUGACGCUGAGGCACGAAAGCGUGGGGAGCAAACAGGAUUAGAUACCCCUGUAGUCCCUGUCUCUUAUAC